rnacentral:rRNA from 1 species
GCCGCGUGAGCGAAGAAGGUCUUCGGGAUGUGAAGCUCUAUCUUCAGGGAAGAUAUGACGGUACCUGACUAAGAAGCGCAGGCUAAAUACGUGUCAGGCGCCGCUGUAACGAGCCAGCCGCCGCGGUAAU